AAAAACAUUUUCGACUUCAUAUUUUGGACUUCCUACAUUUUAUUUACAAAUUAGAUACUUAAAAAUAUAAAUAACAUUCAUUCAGUUUCUGUAUCCAAACAUUUAUAGGCUAGUCUCCCAUUUAAUUCAUUUGUAUUUCAUCACAUUCUGACAGGAUGAGAUAAAUCUAAACACACAAGGUAAGACAAUGCUGUGUCUCAACUGACAUGUUAACGCCAUAAAAAUAACCUCCACUGGCAGGUUGAGACAAAGACUCCACUGACAGGAAAAAAUAUUGCUUCACCUCCAUUAGAGAACAGUACCCCAACUGACAGGUCAACAUUGUGCUUUUAUUGAGAGGUUGAGACAUUGUGUUUCUGUUGACAGGUUGACGGCAGGCUAAGACAAUGCUAUCUCAACUGAUAGGUUGCGGCAAUGAUGUGCCUCCACUAACAGGUUGAGACAUUGCUAUCUCCACGGCAGGCUGAGACAAUGCUAUCUGCCUAUCUCAACUGAUAGGUUGCGACAAUGAUGUGCAUCCACUUACAGGUUGAGACAUUGCUAUCUCCACGGCAGGCUGAGACAAUGCUAUCUCCACGGCAGGCUGAGACAAUGCUAUCUGCCUAUCUCAACUGAUAGGUUGCAGCAAUGAUGGGCCUCCACUAACAGGUUGAGACAUUGCUAUCUCCACGGCAGGCUGUGACAAUGUUAUCUGCCUAUCUCAACUGAUAGGUUGAGACAAUGAUGUGCCUCCACUAACAGGUUGAGACAUUGCUAUCUCCACGGCAGGCUGAGGCAAUGCUAUCUGCCUAUCUCAACUGAUAGGUUGCGACAGUGAUGUGCAUCCACUUACAGGUUGAGACAUUGCUAUCUCCACGGCAGGAUGAGACAAUGCUCUCUCCACGGCAGGCUGAGACAAUGCUAUCUGCCUAUCUCAACUGAUGGGUUGAGACAAUGAUGUGCCUCCACUAACAGGUUAUGACAUUGCUAUCUCCACGGCAGGCUGAGGCAAUGUUAUCUGCCUAUCUCAACUGAUAGGUUGCGACAAUGAUGUGCCUCCACUAACAGGUUGAGACAUUAGAGACACUGAAGAGUCUCUCCAUCAACAAACACUGCUGUGUCUCCAAUGGUAGGUAGAGACACUGACAAACACUGCUGUGUCUUUAGAGGUAGGUAGAGACACUGGUGUCUCUCCAUCAACAAACACUGCUGUGUCUCAAGUGGUAGGUAGAGACACUGACAAACAUUGCUGUGUCUCCAGUGGUAGGUAGAGACACUGACAAACACUGCUGUGUCUCUAGAGGUAGGUAGAGACACUGGUGUAUCUCCAUCAACAAACACUGCUGUGUCCCCAGUGGUAGGGAGAGACACUGAAAAACACUGCUGUGUCUCUAGAGGUAGGGAGAGACACUGGGGGCUCUCCCUCAACAAACACUGCUGUGUCCCCAGCGGUAGGUAGAGACAUUGAAGAGUCUCUCCAUCAACAAACGCUGCUGUGUCUCCAGUGGUAGGUAGAGACACUGAGAAACACUGCUGUGUCUUUAGAGGUAGGUAGAGACACUGGUGUCUCUACAUCAACAAACACUGCUGUGUCUCAAGUGGUAGGGAGAGACACUGACAAACAUUGCUGUGUCUCCAGUGGUAGGUAGAGACACUGACAAACACUGCUGUGUCGCUAGAGGUAGGUAGAGACACUGGUGUCUCUACAUCA